rnacentral:rRNA from 1 species
UACGAAGGGGGCUAGCGUUGCUCGGAAUCACUGGGCGUAAAGCGCACGUAGGCGGAUUGUUAAGUCAGGGGUGAAAUCCUGGAGCUCAACUCCAGAACUGCCUUUGAUACUGGCGAUCUCGAGUCCGGGAGAGGUGAGUGGAACUGCGAGUGUAGAGGUGAAAUUCGUAGAUAUUCGCAAGAACACCAGUGGCGAAGGCGGCUCACUGGCCCGGUACUGACGCUGAGGUGCGAAAGCGUGGGGAACAACAGG